AACGAACGCUGGCGGCAUGCCUAACACAUGCAAGUCGAACGAGACCUUCGGGUCUAGUGGCGCACGGGUGCGUAACGCGUGGGAACCUGCCCUUAGGUUCGGAAUAACUCCCCGAAAGGGGUGCUAAUACCGGAUAAUGUCUUCGGACCAAAGAUUUAUCGCCUUUGGAUGGGCCCGCGUUGGAUUAGCUAGUUGGUAGGGUAAAAGCCUACCAAGGCGACGAUCCAUAGCUGGUCUGAGAGGAUGAUCAGCCACACUGGGACUGAGACACGGCCCAGACUGGGAAGGGAGGCAGCAGCGGGGAAGAUGGGAGAGGGGGGCCAUGUGGGAGUCAGCAACGCUGAGGGAGGGAGGAAGGGAGUAGGGGGGGAAAGCGAGUUGAGCCGGGAGGAGAAUGAGAGGGGCGGGAGAAGAAGCUCCGGCUAACGAAGUG
rnacentral:rRNA from 1 species